ACGGAGGAUCCAAGCGUUAUCCGGAAUCAUUGGGUUUAAAGGGUCCGUAGGCGGUUUUAUAAGUCAGUGGUGAAAUCUGGUCGCUCAACGAUCAAACGGCCAUUGAUACUGUAGAACUUGAAUUACUUGGAAGUAACUAGAAUAUGUAGUGUAGCGGUGAAAUGCUUAGAGAUUACAUGGAAUACCAAUUGCGAAGGCAGGUUACUACGAGUUAAUUGACGCUGAUGGACGAAAGCGUGGGGAGCGAACAGGAUUAGAUACCCUGGUAGUCCACGCCGUAAACGAUGGAUACUAGCUGUUUGGAGCAAUCUGAGUGGCUAAGCGAAAGUGAUAAGUAUCCCACCUGGGGAGUACGCUCGCAAGAGUG
rnacentral:rRNA from 1 species